rnacentral:rRNA from 1 species
CCCCUAGAUGUUCUGGGCCGCACGCGCGCUACACUGAACAGUUCAACAAGUCUUAACCUUGGCCGAUAGGUCUGGGUAAUCUUUGAACGCUGCUCGUGAUUGGGAUAGACCUUUGCAAUUAUGGGUCUUCAACGAGGAAUUCCUAGUAAACGCAAGUCAUCAGCUUGCAUUGAUUACGUCCCUGCCCUUUGUACACACCGCCCGUCGCACCUACCGAUUGAAUGGUCCGGUGAAAUCUCGGGACGGCGGCUUGGUCGCUUGCGUCCGACUGCUGAAACUUGAUUAAACCAUAUCAUUUAGAGGAAGGUGAANUCGUAACA